UAAAACCUCAAAGUUUCAGAAUAGCGUGAAAAUGGCAACCAUAGUACGGAACAAUAUUCACGUAAUAGUAAGCAAUUCAGCUUCAGUGUAAAAAAGCCAACUUCGUCAGAUUUUUUGGAGUACGGAAACAUGCCGAAAAAUUGCUGUGAUGUUCAAUGAACGCGUAACCAGGUCAAAAGUUCCGACCUACGGUUCGCAAUGCUCCCAAGUAGGGAAAUGGAGCCUGCGAGAAGAGCCCCGUUGCUUCAGUCUAUUCGGUGUGGGAGAUGUGGGGACCCGAUGUCCAAUUACGCUACACGUAGCUGUUUGUGGAAAACAUUUAAUCACAACUAAGCCAUUUACGUUAUUUGGUAUAGUUCGUUUGUAAGACCACUCACUAUUGUAACCCAAUAGUCUAUUUUGUGUUGGUCUUGUUUGGUUUACGUUGCGGUUGGGAUGGUAGCUAGCUAGCAUUCACUCAUGUGGCUCCUAUAGCGCCAUGAAAAGGUGCAUGAGGGAAGCCCUAUUACGUUUUUCUAAGUAGUGAGGACACGAAAGCAGGCAAUGUUGACAAGUAAUCUUUAUACAUGGUUUACUUUGCUUAAAAUGUAAUUUACAAAAAUAAUGUAUUUGCUGUGAGCCAAUGGGGUAACCUAGAAAACCACAGAUUGCGUUACGCGGGCGGGGCCGCGACGUUCUACUUACGGAACGCCAUUUGGGUGGGUGACUCACCUUGCGUGUCAAAAGCUACACGUCAAAUAACAUUAUGGACAAUAUUUGCAAUCACAAUUAAGGCGCGCGUGAAGCCAGCUAUGGGUGCGUUCGUAAAUUCGCUCUGGCUAUCUACUCCGAUUUCAGAGCACUUUAUCCUGAGUGUGCCAGAGCGCAGAAUAACUGGAUUCAUUCUCAAACGCUCAACACCCUUUGAAUAUGGCCGGUGUCAGUAAAAAAAAAAAAAGCGUAAUUAAAUUGUUGUCAGCAGUACAGUUAGUCACCAACGCUCUAAAUAACAUAAACAACCUAACUAGCAGUUAGGACGAGUAAAAUGGUCAGAGUGAGUGUUCUCUCAUUUGUGUCUGGAAGAAGCUGAUCAACCGUUAGCCAAUUGUAUUGGGUAAUUGACUGCUCGUUGUGAGGUCAGAACGCUCGGAUUAACCCUACUAUGGAAGGCCAAGAGUUUCAAAUCGUCUUGAUUUGGACGCUUGUUACGGGCAUGUUUAUACGCGUUCAUUACACCUGUUCUGUGUGCAUUUACAGGUGAUUAGAACGCCUGUGUAGUAACGGGCACAUCCCCAUGUGUCUGAAAGUACCACAUUGUAGCCCCUCCCACCUCAAUUUUUGGGAGUUUGACUUCCGGCCUGUUGCGAUAAAUCGUUUACUCAGGGAGGAGGAGAUUAUUCUAAAUAUGGCUCAAAUUGUUAUUACAUUUACAGAAUGUAAACGCUGCAGCAAGGCGUUGGUGAGAAAAAAAUGGAGAAAGAAAUUGAAACGACUUUUUCCACAUAACUACAAAUCUGACGCUGGCUAUCUAUCUUAUUUUCAUUGAAAUAGCAUGGCGAGCUAGCAAUAGUAUUCUGUCAAGCCUGUAACUAACGUUAAUGGUUGUUACGUUGUGGAACAGAGCAACAUAGUUCUUUGUACUUGUCAUUUGGUUGAGAUAAACAUUAGUUUAGAACAUAAUUGUUUACUUUGUGUAGAUUUGUGUAAUUAGUUGGGUUUGCUAGUUAGCAAGCUGAGAUGUAUUUGCUCAAAUUGGCUAAUUUAGCUAUUAGCUAAUGUUUUAGGAGAACAGGUUAGCUCCCUGCAUAAUCUAGACCAUGCAAGAAUGGGGAAUAAGGUCUGGCUGUUGCAGUGCCCAGACUAGGUGAGAGCAAACUGCUACAGAGAUAAAGGAAUCUACUAAUUCUAUGUUGAAACAGCAACACAGAUGGAGGGGGAGGAAAACAGACUGCUUCUUUCUACAACACCUUCACCAAAUCAUACAAUGUUUGUUACAUCUGAAAUAAAUACAGAAUUAUUUUAGUUUAUUCUGUUUAAUGUUUUUUUAUGCUGGAUGUAAUUUAGCAGGUCUAUAGUAUAAUGUAUUGUUUUGAAACAUUUUAUUAAAUAUCUAUUCAGUCUACUCUAUUUUAUGUUUGCUAAAAUAAUGUAUGUUUUGUACUGUUACUUUUUACAUGCUGAAACAGUCUCAUUAGUUUUGAGCUAGAUUAUGAUUGGGGAAAUGUCUACUACCCUUUUUUAAAUGUUGAUGAAUGAAAUUAGCACAGUUACUAAUAGUUUGUUGCUACUGUCUGGUGAGGAAGUGGGCAAUAUGGAAUACAUUGGAGGAUGGGAGAAUUAAUGAGAAAUCAGAACUUGGAGAAUGUCUGGGAAUAAGUAGGUAAAUGUACAGCCUAUCAAUGACAAACGGUGCAGAGGUAGCCUUAACAUUAGAUAUGUGCAUGUUAUGUACUGGACAGACGGCUAGACAGCUUUUUUUCAAAACAUUGGAUUACCGACUUGAGUGGUGACAUCUCAGUUUGCACCGCAUUUUCACAUGGAUGUGUAAAUAUACACUGAACAAAAAUAUAAAUGCAAUAUGUAAAGUGUCGGUUUCAUGAGCUGAAAUAAAAG
ensembl:lncRNA